rnacentral:lncRNA from 1 species
UUUCUGUUGAGGCGCUUUCCCCUGAAUAAGGGUUCCCCCCACCUCACUACCACCCCCUACAUUGUCUCAUACCCCCCGGCCCACCAUCUUUUUCCUCUUUGAUCCCCAUGGAUCUUUGCACAUAUCACUAAUCAUGACAUUUGUUUAUUUUGAUGUUAACUGUAGACUUCGCUGAUCCUCUUCACUGUCAUCACCAUCAGAGGGUAACCUUCUGGCCCUUGAAGACUGUGUUUCUCAUCUCUGCAUUCUCAUUGCCUAGUAGAGAGUCAAGCUUAUACUACAGUCCUGAUUAUUGCCUGUUGAAUGAAUUUAGGCUUCAAACAUGACCUUUUUUUUUUGAAAAGAAGUUUCUCCUACAAACUGCUAUUAAAACUCAGAGCAAAUUUAAAGAUUUCCUGUAGCAUAGAAACCCAUCCUGCUAUGAGUGCAAUCGCGUGGAACAUCAGAUGGAAGCUCUUUGCCCCCAUGGCCUGCCCAAGA